rnacentral:tRNA from 1 species
GGUGCUGUCUCGUAAGCAAAAAAUUUUGCUUUUUCCCAAUUUCUGAAUUUUUCUGUUUUCUAUUUAUCUGAUAUUACUACAUAUAAAAUUCUUGACCCGGCCUGUCACGCCGGAUGUCGCCGGUUCGAGCCCGGUCGGCCCCGCCA